rnacentral:rRNA from 1 species
CAGCUCUUCGAGUGGUGUCCAUGAUUAUUGAGCUUAAAGCGUUCGUAGCCUGUUUGGUAGGUUCCUGCUCAAAUCCGGUCGCUUAACGGUCGGACUGGUAGGAAUACCGCCUUACUUGGGGACGGGAGACGGCGACGGUAUUCCGUAGGUAAGGGUGAAAUCUAAUGAUCUACGGAGGACCACCAGUGGCGAAGGCGGUCGUCGAGAACGUGCCCGACGGUGAGGGACGAAACCCAGGGGAGCAAAUCGGAUUAGAUACCCGAGUAGUCC